GACGUAGGUGGCGAACGUUAUCCGGAAUUAUUGGGCGUAAAGGGCGCGUAGGCGGCUUGGCAAGUGGAAGGUGAAAUCCCUCGGCUUAACCGAGGAACUGCCCUCCAAACUGCUUCGCUUGAGACCGGGAGAGGUGAGUGGAAUUCCCAGUGUAGCGGUGAAAUGCGUAGAUAUUGGGAGGAACACCAGUGGCGAAGGCGGCUCACUGGACCGGUACUGACGCUGAUGCGCGAAAGCGUGGGGAGCAAACGGG
rnacentral:rRNA from 1 species